UAAUAAUUUGGUUUUAGUUAUAUUUGUUGAUUUUUGCUUAAUAAUACAUGUUAGGUUUAUAUAAGUUCGAUUUCCUGUUAAUUUACUUUGUUUAAAGUUUAAUAUUUUUUUUUAAUAUGUAAAUUUUUAGUGGUAAUAAAUAUGUUUAUCAAUAUUACUAUUAUUUGCGGGUACUCAGUAUUUAGAAUUAUACAAUGAAUGAAAGUUUUAUAUAGAUAUAGUAAGUGAGAACUGGUUAAUAUUUGUGCCAGCAACUGCGGUUAUACAAGUAGUUCAAAUUAAAAUUUAAUAGUAGAAAGUAAAGUUUGAUAAUUAAUGUAUAUGAGUGCGUAUGCGUUUAUAUUGCUUAUUGUGGUUAAUUAGGUGUAUGAGCAUUUAUGUGUGAGUAUAUAAAAUAUAUAGAAAAUUUCAUUAAUAUAUAAUUAAGUAAAAUUUUAUUAUUAUUUUGAGUUUUAUAUUUUUCUAUAAAAUUAAUUCUUUAAAAAUUUGAAAAUAAACUAGGAUUAGAUACCCUAUUAUUUCAUUGUUGUUAAAAUUGGUUUUAAAUUCUGCUUAGGUAUUAAGAACUAUUAAGAUUAUUUAUUUGUUUAAAACUUAAAAGAUUUGGCGGUUUCACAUACCCAUUUAGGGGAGCUUGUUAAUAUAAUAUGAUAUUCCUCGAUUUAAACUUACUUUUUUUUGAAAAAUGGACAGUUUGUGUAUUGCUGUCGUUAGUUUAUGUUUAAAGAAUUUAAUGUAAAAAACUUUAAAAUUAAUGAGUUUGUAUGUCAAGUCAAAAUGCAGCUAAUAAAAAAGGUUUAAUGAGCUACUUUUUAUAAAUUUAAUUUCCGGUAAAAAAAUUUAAUUAUUUUUAGUAAGGCGGACUUAAUAGUAAUAUGAAAUUAGUUAGUUUGUGUGAAUAUUGGUUUUGUGUUGUGUACAUAUCGCCCGUCGCUCUUGUUUUCAGAUAAGAUAAGUCGUAACAUAGUAAGGGUAAUGGAAAUUGUUCUUGGUUAAGG
rnacentral:ncRNA from 1 species